GAACUGUGACAGCUUCAGCAGUACAUAUACUAAAAUUGAAUAUAGAGAAGAUUAGCAUGGGCCCUGCACAAGGAUAACAUGUAAAUUCGUGAAGUGUUCCAUAUUUUA